rnacentral:pre_miRNA from 1 species
GUGAGCACGAUGGCCACAUUUAUUGGGCAACCAAUGAAUUCCCGCCUGCCCACAG